GCCAGACUCCUACGGGAGGCAGCAGUGGGGAAUAUUGCACAAUGGGGGAAACCCUGAUGCAGCGACGCCGCGUGAGCGAAGAAGUAUUUCGGUAUGUAAAGCUCUAUCAGCAGGGAAGAAAAAAAUGACGGUACCUGAGUAAGAAGCACCGGCUAAAUACGUGCCAGCAGCCGCGGUAAUACGUAUGGUGCAAGCGUUAUCCGGAUUUACUGGGUGUAAAGGGAGCGUAGGCGGCGCGUUAAGUCUGAUGUGAAAACCCGAGGCUCAACCACGGGAGUGCAUUGGAAACUGGCGGGCUGGAGUGCCGGAGAGGUAAGCGGAAUUCCUAGUGUAGCGGUGAAAUGCGUAGAUAUUAGGAGGAACACCAGUGGCGAAGGCGGCUUACUGGACGGCAACUGACGCUGAGGCUCGAAAGCGUGGGGAGCAAACAGGAUUAGAUACCCGCGUAU
rnacentral:rRNA from 1 species